UUCUAUACUAUGCUUCUAUAUUAUUCUCUUCUGUUUGGCACUGUAUCUGGAAUACUCUAUCUAGCUUUGGGUCUCCAGCAAAAGUCCAGUGACCAGGUUCAUCAGCAGCCUGGAGCACACAGCCCACCCAGCAUGGAGGCGCUCAGGAAGCUGGCCUUGUCUAGUUUGCAGGAGAGCAGGCUGAGGAGCAACACAACAGUACUUGACAAGGAGCCACAUAGAUGAUAGCGUGGCAAAUGACCUAACAGUGGGCAAUAGCUACAGACCGCAACCUGGGAGAUUCGGCUGGACAUCGGGAAUAACAUUUUCCCUAGAGCAGCACCAGGCCAGGGGGCCCAAUGAGGCUUUGGAGUCUCCACCAUGGGGACUUUUGAGGUUUGGCUAAUGGAGCUGUGGCUGCCCCGCUGUAGUGUGGGCAAAAGUGCUACUUAGAGCAGGAAGUUAAACUCGAUGACAUCCAGAGGUGCUUUCAAACCCACAUGUCUACUAUUCUAAUGAAGUGUAGGCCUAACUGGACAGAGCCCAUACUAUCAUAUUUUGAAAGAGACUCAUGACUAAAAGUUAAGGACAUUAUAAACACCUACUUGCAAAUAUGUUAAAAAGCUGGUGAAAAUGUCUCCUGAAGUAUUUUUGCUUUAAAUUUUUUUUUAGUAUUUUCUGUACUUAUCUGCCAGUAUAACAGUUUUGCUGUAGUCAGUUCAGCUUUUGUUUGAAUUUUUCAUCUAACAGCACAAGGUAGGAAGGGACCUAAGAGAAUAUUUAAAUCCAUAAAAGGUGCCAUACAGCUUGACUAGUAGUUACACCUGAAAUAUAAGUGUACCUCACUUUUGACUAACCCUAAAUAUAUACUUUGAAAUGUGAGCACUAUCUAACUUUAAGAACUCCAUUUAAAAUUAAAAUGGAAUAAAAUUGUUCUGAACUGAAAGUGGAGUUAUACACCUCCUCAUAUUGAUCCUCACUGAGAAAGAGCUAAAACAUAUUUAUAGCUUUGAAUGGUAGUACUUUCUUUGAAGACUGAUUCAGAGAUUUACAUAAGCAGGUCUACUCGCAUGCUUAAAGCCAGUUCUAAUUUGUGUUUUCUACCCUUCACUGCUUUAAUUUCCAUUCUUCUUUUUAAAGCUGGGAGGGAGAAGGGGCGAGAAGAGACACAAAUUACAUUUCAUUCCAGUCACAUUGUGGCUUUGCCAUCUAUAUGCUAUUCAGAUUUUAAAAUAAAACAGAACAACCCACUAGCAUAGAUCCAAACAGUAUACAUUUGCUAUUAAUGAAAAAGGCUAGAAAAAAUACGAAGCGCGUGCACUGUCCCUGGAGAAGCAAGGAAAAUAUCUAUCAUUUUCACAUAUAUUACCUACAUGCUACCCCCUGAAACAAAACAAAGCAUAAGUACACAACAAAAACCUUCAUGCCAGCAGUACUAAAGGUUGAAGAAUACUUUCUCUAUUUCAGAACCCUCUCUGGCUAAUAUCUGUCAUCUCCCCAACUCCUCCUGAACUUACUGCUUCUUUUCCAGAUCACAUAGUCUCUCUGAAUUAUUUGAGGGUCCAGGCUAUCCAGGGGUUUUCAUGUCAUAGUACAUCUAAAGGAGUGUUGAUAAUACACAUGCAAAUACACUUUUGAGGGGAAAAAAGAAAGAAUCUGCUCAUCUUGGGUCAUCCAGCAAGGUCACCAUUUCAAGGAAUCUGAAGGAAAACAUAACCACACCUGAUGGGACAUUUUUCCAUAGUUUCUGUACUUUUUUUUUUUUUUUUUUUUUUUUUUUUUUUUUUUUUUCUGGCACCAUGGCACUUGAGAUUCAGAAACGAAAUCUUGAGGGAGCUGACUGUUGUACGAGAAGCACGGGUAAAACUAGACAAAAAGCGGUGCUAGGAGAGGGAGCUGAUUCUGUAUCAGGCAACUCAGAACCGGGUAAGUUGUUGCGAGCUGUCAGUAAUGACGACGUAAUGGAGGCUUCCUGCCUUACUGAGCAUCCCUAUCAUGGAUAUAGAAAAUAUCUCAACCCAAGUUUUUUGGCUUUUUUUUUUUUUUUGGCCAGUAAAGUGCUUGCUGUGCUUCACUGCUGAAAUCACAGAAAGUUCUAAAACCAUGUUGCACUGCAGCUGCCAGACAUAAUGAUGGAGUCGGAUGCAUAGCAGUUCAGCUGGAAACUGCCAAGGGACAAACAAGGAAAAAAAAUCAGUGCUGCAUUUGCAGAUACUCACACAAUUGCAUGUUGCAUGUAAAUGGUUCAUUUCCUAUAUAUUUAUUUUAAAAUAUUGCAAUAUUAACCUAAAUUAUUUCAGUUAUAAGCUUGACAUUCUCUUCCUUGUCAGGCAGCAGCACCUUUUGAUACUUUCUGGUAGCAUGCACUAAUUAAAACUUUUUUAAAAAAAGUUUAUAUAGUAAAUGUAUAAUACAUAACUAAUAUGUUACAUAUAUAAGUAUUCUAUACAUCUUCUGUAAUGACCUGGAGCCUUAUGUCUCCAAGAUACACCUUUGCCAGUGCCAAACAACAAUCAGCUCUUCUGUGUGUGCAUAUGUUUACAUAUUUUAGCAAAAACACCAGCAGGAACACUUUUUUAUUGUAUACAUCACUUCAGAAAUGUAAAAUGAGAUAUCCACUUGGAUGAUGCGGGAGCUGGAGUAUAAUCCACUUAAUGCUACAUUUUAGCACAGUGUAAUUUUUUUUCCCCAAAUAAAUCUGAUGGCCAAUUCUAGUACAGAACAGGAAUGCAGUAAAUUAUCCCACCUCCAUCUUACAGAUAAUGGAGCAAAUCAUUACCCACUGUAACUGAGUUUUAAUUUGUUACAGCGAAAGAAGACAAUUACAGGUCAACCUGUCAAUAGAGUAAUUUGAGUAACUGAAACUAGUUGACCUUUCUGGUACACUGUUCCAGGACCAGAGUUGCUCCCCUGCUAAGCAGCAGCAGAUGGCCAGAGCUGUGCAGUUCUGCUUCCCAGUGAAAAGUAAUUUGUUUUUCGGGAUUGUUAGAUAAGUGAAGAAAGAAGAUGCAGGCAAACCCUUAUUUAAGAAUCCCAGCCCAACAAUAAAGCAUGUCCACAAAAGGGGCAAAUGAAGUGGCUGGCUGCUUGGGGUUUGGCUUAAUCAAGUUCACCUGUGGCUCAUGUGGCAGCUUGGACUCCUGCAUUAGCCUGGAGUGUCCACAUAGACCAGAGCUACACAGAAAUGCUCAUCAUAGCACGCUGCAUGCCGGAAACAGCUCAUGCCAGUGUGACAGCACAAGAAUGAGAACUGUGGAAAAAAACAUUGUGAUAGAAAAUACAAAAAUAGACAAACAUGAAGAGAGGAAAACCCAUGAAGUCAAGAAGAUUAAAAAAUUACAGGCAAAAGAAAACUUCAUUUCGUAACAGUGACAAAAAAUAAAAUUUUAAAACAAAACCCAGGGUUGUGGAAGAACAAAAGAAAAAUCUUUUAUGCUUAGUUAAAUAGUUUUUUCUUACACAUUGUGGAUUCAAAAUAGGAAAUCUGGAAGAAAACACUACAGUAAGAGUGUUACUGGUCAAUUUCCAAAAGCCAAGAAUCAAAAAAAAAUUUUUACUUCUGUCCUCAGAUAUUAAAAUGCAGGAUCUAAUUAACCCCACUAUUAGUUUGGUUUUAUUCUGUUCAAAUUUCUUUUUUGCCAGCAAGAAAAAGGAAUAACAGUGGGAUAUUAGAGGAAGUUUCUACAGAGGAACACUUAUGCUGUCCCAAAUAACUGAAUCUAUUUUUCCCCCGAUAUUCUUAAGGCAUGUGGUUUUUCAGUAUCAGCAGAUCACUUUACUAACCACCUUAAAUAUGAAUUUUCUGGAAUGUUUAUGUUGUAUAUUGAACACAGAAUGACAGUGCGUGAUAGUAUGUGCUCGUAUACUAGGUUGCCCAAAAAAUAUCUGAUGCUAAGAAAAAGAUUCAUUUCUGGAGGUAACAUUUCAGAAGUCUGUAGUUACUAAUAAUCUGGAUAUUUUCUUCUUUCAGCAUGCUGCAUUUUUUAAUGUGAUGUGAAGUUAUGCUGCCAUUUGGGCAAAUGGCAUUUGUUAAUAUGAUUGUUGAGUAUUUUUUGAAGUCAAGCAGAGCAGGUUCCCUAAAAUAACUUGUUUAAAAUGAAUUUGUAUUCAACAGUGAUCAUAAAUAAACAGAGCUUAAAAAAAAUCCACUCAUUAGUGGUGAGUGGGAAGCCACUAAUUCCCUGUUGCAGGUCCUAAGCCAACAAUUCCUGCUAGUUUUAGGCUUUCAGUUUUAAAGCUAUUAAGAUUAAUCCUUUUGAAGCAAAUAAAGCAUUUGAAAAGAAUGUAUGAAAACCAAAAGAGCGAGUUCCUGAUUCUGCAAAGACCUUACGCACUACUCACAUUUUUACCAAAUUGAAGUUUCUGAUCAAUUUUUCUGUUAUUCACUUAAAGAUAUCCAAAGAAAAAACUAAUUAUCGAUACUCCUAAUAUUCCUUAGACACAUGCACCUGAUGUGUGUACAACAUGAGAUUAGUUAAAAAAGAGGCAAAGAAAUGAAGGUCUUGUAUUGGAACCUCUUAGCUCUGAUGCAUGACCUAACGCUAGCAUUAAGUCCCUUGUUUACACUUAGCCAUCCAUGUAAGAGGCUAAUCUGGCUACAUGCACUUUUGGCAAACCCUUUCCAGACUGAUGAAUAGAUUUUCCAGAAGGAGGUGUUAACCAAACAUUUGUGAUUUGCUGGCAAUACUUACUGGGUCAAAAGCCCCAAAAGUUUUGCUUGUUGGAAUGAUGCAUCAGCUUAAAGUUAUGCUAAAAAUUCUUACUAUCAUUGACUUUAUAAGGCAUUGUGACCCAAAUUAUUGCUGUAUGUUGAAUCCCCUGCAGAGUGCUCACAGACACUAAUCUCACUAAUUCCUCUUGUGCAUGCAUAAAACUUCUCUUAGUGUAGCUCAAAAAAGCCUAUCUGUAUUAAAUUAAAUUUGUAAAGCAAAUGUCCAGGAUAAAAUGAUCAAGCUUAAUAUACAUUACAUCUGGUCUUAAUAACAAAAGACAGAAAUAGGCUAUAACAUAAACUUAACCCAUUCUAUGGUUAGCAAAUAUGGGGUUUUUUUGGGAAAAAAAGUGCUGUCAAUCACGUGGAAAGUUUGUAAGCAUGUAUAUGUGUACGUAUACAUAUAUGCCUACAUACACACACAGACAAAGUGCUGAUCUGAAAAUUAGUCACCCAAAAAUUAUGCAGCCAGUUCAUGUUGCUUUAGUUAGAAACUUUUACACACAGGUAGCAAUUGGAAGAGUCCAUUUCAGGUCUUCACUUUAAGAAAAUUCAGAAAUAUUGCAACUGAGGAGCAUUAAGGCAUUACAUACAGUCUUCGUCCUCUAACUUGGUUUUCUUUGCACAUAUGAGCCAUCUGCUUGGAGGAAAAUGGGAAAAUGUCACUUUUAAUAAACAUACAAUGCCUCUGGCAAAUUAAGAUUGUAUUUGACAAUCCUACAAAAGGAAGAGGAGGCAAGUUUGUUAAUGCUGUUUAUCUUCCAGAUCUUCAAUAGAUUUUCAACAGCCAUUAAAAUAGGCAUCUUCAAAGAACUUGUCAGGGGAAAAGUUAAAUAUGGUUAUGUGGAACAAAUUCCUUCAUACAAAGAUUCUUUUUUACAUGGUUCCUGCUCAGGAUCAUCAAUCUUUCUGCAAGAAGAGGAUAAUGUUUUGGAUCACAUUUCCUAUUGCAUUUGAAAUCAUUAUUGUUUCAUUUUGUGACAGUAUUCUCUUAAUUGUCAAACAUUACAUGUCAUUUUGCAUUUCUUAUUGUCUGAGCAAACACGUUAAACUUUGUAUUUUAAAUCAUUCAUCUUGAAAGCAAAAGCAUACAUGGACUUUUAACAGACUAUGCAAAUACAAAAUUAUGCCAGAAUCUGGUAACAUAUAAUGAAAUUAUUAUUAAUGGGCAUUUUUUUAAAAAUCAGCACAAGAAUUGUUACUGUUGUUAAGUAACAAUUAUGCCUUGAGAACAGAGCAUAGGAUAUAAUGAAUUUGUGAGGUCUCAAUAUGCUACAGUGUCUGCCAAAACCACUCUUUCACCUUCUACCAAAACCUUUGAUCUAAGUUUUAUUAUAAUUUCCACUUUAUAAAAGAAUUUAUAUUUCUUAUACAUUUAUGAAAAUUAAGUUUGCAUUAAACCAAAAUAGCAGGAUGAGAAAAAUGUUGAAAUCAGCUCUGGUUCCACGUUAUCUGUGCAUCUGGACUUAGAUCUCUGCAAUCCAACCAUCAGCCCGCAAACUACUGAACAGCAGCCUCUGAAAAGGAAAACUUCUGCCCACAGUAAACCUCGCUUGCACUGAAAUUGCUCCCAGAAGAGCAGAGAACAACUUAGGAAAAGAUUUUCCUUUGACAAAGAACUCGACUAAAAACACUUCCAUUUUAAAACCACACUGAAAUUCUCAGAAAAUAUUCUCAGACCAAAAGCAAAACCUAAAAAAAGAUACCCUGGACAUUCCCAAAAUAGAAAGACAAGUUUUCUGUUGCUGGCAGGUGAAUUGGUGCAAGAGCCUAGCACUGCAACCUGCUGAUGUAAUUGCUCUUCUAGCAGCUCAGUAAGCUUGUAAUUCUGAUGCCAAAAGAUCCAGUUUCAGCCUCCAAAACCAGACCUGAAGGAAGCUGCACAAGGAAACUACAAAGGAGAAACCUACUGCCCCCAAGGGAGCAGGGGGAGCAGGCAUAAAGUUUUCCUGGAAAGAUUUUAACUUGUAAGGGGGCACAAUGAUGCAGGCACUUCUGGAUGUUGCUGGUACUGUCAGACUUGCCCUUUGUUUUCCUAGUUUUUGGUCUGGACAAUACAUCCUUUCUGAUAACCAGUGGAUUAUCUCUGUCCUUCCCAUUCUCCUUCCAUCAUCAGCUCACCUCUGAGUGACUGAGAAAUCAGGAGAUCCCCUUUAGUGGGAAAUAAACUCCUAUUUAGGGCCUCUAAUACCUGUCUUUAAAAUUACAACAUUCUGGACACCAAAGCUGCUUCAAAAUACACCAUUCUAACUGCAUACAAAAGUAAACCAAGUUCUGGUCAAAAACAGAGUUGUAACCAACUUUGAACCAUCUUUCUGUAUUACCUCACAUAUACGUCCAGAAAGAAAAAAUAUUCUAAACAAGUUCCUUAAAGGUGUUUGAAGGUCUGAAGCCAGCUCUGACACUAUUUUAUAUUAAUUUAAUUUUAUUUUAUUUAAUUUUAAUAAAUGCUACAAUACUUUAUUUUACAAUAAAUGCUACAAAAUAUAUAUACACUAUAUAUCAUGUAUAUACCAUACUAUUAUUAUAUCUUAUGACAUAUCAAUACAUUAGUGAGAAGACAAUACACCAUUAAGUGCAUUAUAAAUGACAAAAAAAGUUCAUGAGAGCAGUGUGGCAAAUGCCUCUGCUUAAACCUCUGGCUACCAUAUCUACUCUCUGCCCAUUACUUUUAUCUUAUGGGUAAAGAAAGACUCGGACCUUCUACGCAGCUAUCUGGUAACCUUCUAUAUUUUUCAUUUAGAUAACAUUAAACUUGACUUAACACUAAACACAUGACUUUACAUGAUAAAAGCCAUUUCUAUGGAGAUGUAGGACUUUAAAAGGUGAUGUAGUUAGUUCCCUGAAGAAGUGUCUUUUGUUAUAUAGAUCUUUAUAUAAAAAUCAAUACAGAUUAAGCCAACUAUGCAGAUCAGAUUAUA